GCAGCCUUAUCUGUCUGCUGCAGGGGCUGAUGGGAGAUGUGAGGAGCUGUUAGAAACCACGUGGCCCUCGUCUGAUCUCACAGCUCGUCCUUGUUUGGCCUCAGCUGCAUCAGAGCGCCACUUCUCCCCAGGUUCACCAGAGGAAACACCACUGAACUAAAUGCUUUUCCUCCCAGCUGCUGCUCUGUGCUGUCUGUGUUCAGCGCUGGCUGCCAUGGCAACACAGCUGAUUCAGGAUGAUUUAACAUUGACCAGGAGAGUUGGUGGAGACGUCUCCUUCAGCUGUCGAGGCACUGAGCAGUGUGACAGUGUUCCUGAUUUCUGAUUGAGGGGGGCCCCUCCCCUGGAUAUAAGAGAGGCUGGGAGACAGAAAUCUGUCUCUGAGACUGAAGCAGCUGAUCACCGUUGGUUUCUCUUCUCUUCUUUUGGGUUUCUUUGCUUUGAGGAUGGAGGUCUGAGGCCCGUUCCAGAAAGCAGGUUUAGUGAAAACUCUGAGUUGGUUAACCCUGAGAUGAGGGAAACUCUG